CUCAGUGAUUCGCUUGACCGACUGCAUGCAGUAUUGCAUUUGGAAGGUGUAGAAAUCUAAUCACAUUUUCUGCCUCAAGGGACUGAGCAGCUCCCAAUAAGAUUUUCCUGAGUGUGUCUCUGCAGCAGUUGGUGGGAGUGACACGACUGGUGAGACUGAGACAGCCUGGGGCUCAGAGCAGAUGGUAGUCUGAAAGGGACAGAAUGAGAGAGGGAGCUGGAGAAAGAAAUGAAUAAACACGAAUGCAUCUGGAGAAUGAGGCAUCUUGGAAUCUGGAAAGUGAGGCAUCCUGGAAGAGAGAUGAAGGUUCAAGCUCCAAGAUGUCCAGAACCAAACGCGAAGAAGAAUUAAUGAAAUGGAUAUAUGCAAAACUCGUCAAGAUUCUCAUUUGGCUACAGCAAAUUAUUUGGCGAGUUGAAAGUUUAGUUGUGUUAAUGAUAUGCUACACCUUCUAUACCUGUAAUGUGCCAAAAAUAACUGAACACUUUAGAUUUCUCUUUAAAUCCAGUAAUAAUCCAUUAAAGAGAUAAAGGUGCCAAUGUGCAGGCAAGUAAACCACAUUGCCAAGUAUACAAGCUAAUACAUUUCCCAGGAUGGAUUUAGAGUUUCCUAUUUCAAGCAAAAUUUACAGAAAGUUAAAUGCACAAAUCUUCAGUGCACAAUUACACGAGUUUAGCAACUAUAUACAUCCAUGUAAACAACACUAUCAUGAUGCAGAACAUUUUUAUCACCCAGGAAAUUACUUCAUGUCCCCUUCCAGUCAAUCCACUCUCCACAGGAAACAACUAGAGUUCUGAUUUUUAUCAUUAUGUACUAGAACUUCACAUCUUAGGAAAUCAUAUAGUGCUGUCUCAUUUGUUUCUUGCUAGUUUAGGCAGUAUCAUUUUUUUGAAAUCCAUUCAUAUUGUUCCAUGUUAUCAGUAAUUUGUUACCUUGAUGUAGCUGAGGAGUAUUCCAUUAUAUGAAUAUACCACAACUUAUGUACCCAUUGUACUCUUGACAUUGGCUAUUGUUAGUAAAGCUUUUGGCUAUUUACUAGUAAAGCUGCUAUAAACAUGCUCAAGUCUUGUUGUAGAAACAUUUUCAUUUCUCAUAGGUAAAUAGUCAGGGAUGGAAUUUCUGAGUCACAACAGAGGUAUAUGCUUAACUUUAUGAAAAUCAUCAAGCUGUUUUCCAAACUGGAUGCUCCAUUACCUACUUCUCUGAGUAAGAUCUGGGAGUUCCACUUACUCCACAUCCUCACCAACAUUUGUUGUUGCCACAACGAAGUGGUGCAAUAGUUUAUUUUUAUUUUCGUUUACAUUUCUCUGAUGAUUAAUGAUAUCAAGCACAUUUUCAUGUGCAAUUCACCAUUUUUUUUAAAUGUCCAAAACUUUCAUUCAGUUGUAAAAAAAAACAACAGUAUCUUUUUAUUAAUGGUUUGCUCUUGUUCUGGGUGAAGUUCAUCAUCGAAUAUAUAUUGCUAAUAUUUUUUCCCACAUUACAGCUAAACUUUUAAUUUUCUUUUGAUGGGCAGAGAAUUUUUGUUGUUUUAUUUUUGUGAAAUCCGAUUUAUUGCUUUUUUGCAGCUAGUGUUUUUUCUUUCAUCUCUAUAAAAUCUUGCCUAGCCUAAGAUUGUAAUAUAGUCUUCUGUGUUUUUUUUCUUCAUAAAACCUUUACAGCUUUAGCUUUUAUAAUUGAAUCUAUAAUUUAUCUACAUUAAUUUUGUGAAUAUUGUGAAUUGUGGCUAAGAAGAUUCAUUAUUUCCAUGGUUAUCUAGUUAUUCCAGCACUGUUUGUUCAAAAAGACUUUCCAUUGAAGUGUCUUUGAGCUUUUAUUGAAAUUAACUGACUAUGUGUGUAUUGAUUUCUUUCUGAGCUUUACUUUGUCCCAGGGAUCAGCUUGUAUAACCUUAUGCUAAUGCAAUACUAUCUUGAUUAUUGUGGCUUGCUGCAGGUCUUGAUAUAAAGUAAUAAUAUAAUUUAUCUGAAUUUGUUCUUUUUCAAGAUAGCUUUGGAAGUUCUUUAUUUCUUGUAUUUUCAUAUAAAUUUUAGAAUAAACUUGUGUAUUUCCACCAAAAAAAUGCAAAUUUCAUUUAGUUUGUAAUUAGGUCUAAUCAAACCAUAUUAAAUCUUCCAGUUCAUUAACAUGUUCUCUAUCUUCAUAAACUUGGGUCUUCUUUAAAUCUCUGAGGAAUAUGUUAGAAUGUUUAGUAGAGUUUCUGUAUCUUUUUGGGUAGUGCAGAGGGGGGCAUAAAGAAAGAAUGGUUAAUGGGUACAAAAAUACAGUUAAAAAGAAUAAGAUCUAGCAUUCAGUAGUACAAUAGCACAACUACAGUUAAUAAUUUAUGGUAUAUUUCAAAAUAACUAAAAGGGUGGAAUUGAAAUGUUCCUAACACAAAGAAAUGAUAAAUAUUUGAGGUGAUAGCUACCCUAAUUUGAUCAUUACAUGUUGUAUGCUUGUAUCAAAAUAUCACAUAUGCCCAUAAAUGUGUAUAACUCUUACGUAUCCAUAAUUAAAAUUUGUUAAAUAUAUAUGGUCUGUUUAUGCUAUUAUAAAUGGUAUAUUUACAUUUUCCAAAUGUUUGC
rnacentral:lncRNA from 10 species